GCUUGGAUAGCUCAGUUGGUAGAGCACCAGACUUUUAAUCUGAUUGUCUGGGGUUCAAGUCCCUGCUAGGGCA
rnacentral:tRNA from 1 species